CUGAAAAAAUGCUGAUUGUGUUGUAACGCUGAACUGCAAAUAAAAAGUGGUAAGAAUGCAAGGUUCUUAGCUGUAAAAAUAGAUGGUGUGCAUAUGUAGAAUGCUUACAGUGACUGUAUGGCAUCUGGUUAGUUACUCUGUGGAGUAACUGGUUAGUUAUUCUUUGGAAUAAAGAACUCUAAGGGUAGACUCAGACUCUUUAGCAAAGGUGAGAAGACUGGAAGGUGAAGUCAUGUGGUUAUUGCUCAUUAACUCCUGAAACUCUGAGAGACUGCAGAAAAAUUCAGGUGAUCUGCCCACAAAUGCCACCGGUACCAGUGAAGAGGUUCUUGCUCAGAGUCAUCAUGAUGUCAGGAUCCAAUCCUGUGGUCUUGGCAUGGCCUGGCAAGACCUAACAUUUUUUCACCUAGGAAAUAUUGGGCCAUAUAAGUGUUCUUCUUUUGUAUGUUUUUUAUUUCUUUGAGUUGAGUUAACCUCACAUUGUUUUUGAAACUGUAAAGGACAGCUUGAAAAUGAUGAAUGGAAAACUUCAAUCUGUGAACAUACUGCUGUAGUUCUCAAGAAAUAACUUCAAGUGUGCAGCUUUAAAAUGAGAUGAAUCAUUCACCAUAUACCUGAUGGGUCAUAUAGCUUACUCAUAAGCUUCUAUAAACUUUAGGGAUCAUGUGAACACUUUUAGAGGAUAUUGCUAGAGUUUUGGCUUGCUUUGGUUGUUGCAAAUAAAUCUUUAUUUGUAAUAAGGUGAAAAAUACACGACAAAAAAUAAGCUAGGGUAUUUAAAGUAACUGAGUUUUGGGGUCAAGCCCAAUUUAUUAAAAUGAAAGAAGCAGAAGGGAGACUGAAGCUUGGCAUUGGUUUUGCAAUAAUGAUUUAUCUGUACCUUGAGCCCAUCCUUUGGACAGACCUUUGUUUGAACUGCAGCUGGCUUGGUUUAUGUAUGACCUGCUGGGAACUGAGGUUGUAAUGAAAAACAGUUAUUCUUUCAAAUUACUCACAAGAAGUGGUGCCUAUUUUAUCAAGUGCUCUUCUUAAUUUGGCACAUGGUAAGACUUUUAAUAUUUAUUUUUUCUCCAUUAAUCACACUGUAUCUCAUAAGAAGUAUAAACACAGUGAUGAAAUACUGUAUGCUUUCCUUAAAGCAUUCUGAUGACAAAUUCUUCUCUAGAGAGCAGCUGUCGUGAGCUCUUAGCUUUAAUUAAUGAAAUUAUUUGUUGAGGUUUUGUGUGUAUGUGUUGCCAUGUUAUGGACUUCCCAAAUUCUUCUCGGAUCAGGACUGAGUUUCACAAUUUUGCAGACUAGAUAGUGAUUACAAGUUUACAGGACAAUAAGGAAUGAGGAAAGAGUAACUGUUUUAACAAAUGUUGAAAUGCAAAACUUAUAGCCCGUUCAUUGUUUAAAACCAAUUUAAGAUGACAAUUUACUUAUGAAACCGAGAUUGAUUUGGAGUUUUCCUUUUUUUAAAUUUUUUUUUUUUGUUUUGGAUACAACCCUCUUUAGAUGUAAAAUAUAUGUUCUGAACUGUGCAAAAUAAACAUAGCUGUCCUGUUAAUCUGAACAUCCAAAGGUUAAAUAAUAGUAGUUUGGAGAAAACCUAAAGAUGAUGAUAACUUACACUGUGUCUUUGUGUGUCUAUUACCAAAUAACAGAGCUCAAAUGCUCAAGGAAAAUGGGAGUGCUAAAUUAAGAUGAAGUCAUGUAUAUACAUUUUUAAAAAAAUCCGAGUUCUCUGGGGGCAAAGUGUUGUUUUACGUACAGACACUUUCAGAGAUCAGAAUGAGAUAUUACCUAGAAGACAAAAAAAAUGGAUGUGUAAUAAGUAAUAAGUAGUUCUACCUCCUAAUGUUGUUAAAGGUGCUGACAGUACUCUCUUUCCACACUUUUUUCAGUAUUUUUGUUCUCAUACACAUAGUACCAGUCUAUUUGCUAAAUUGCUAUGCAUCUUCUGUUGUUGCUUUAAUCCACAAUUAAAUAGCCUGUUUAUAGUAACCUCUUGCCACAAAGGGAAGAAAUUGCAUCUGCUGCUGAAGAAGACAUUAGAUUAAGAGGCAUUAUUGUUCCCUUCAGUUUUAUGUAAACUGGAGAGGUUGGGUAAGUAGGAUAUAAUGCUGAGAUAGUACUUUUUUUUUUACAUGGUGGCUCAUAGAGUUUGGCACUAAUUCUCAGUAUUUAUACUCCCUUCAGUGGUACACACAGAACAUCACUGUUUUUAAUAUGGAUCACUUUGUUAGGAGAUAUAGUUGAGAUCAGUAUAUUGAUCAGAGUUUUCCAUAUAUAUAUCAAUAAAUUUUUAGUGAGAACACUAGUAACAUUAGUUGCCUUGUGUCUGUGGAAUUAUUUAUUACCCUUGAUGUUUUUGAACAGUGUUGACUCUAACAUGCUAGUUAAAAGUAUAGUUAGCAGUUUCCUUUUUCUUGUAUUAGGGAAGCUUGUGCAAUUUUUGGAAUAAAUAAUUUUUCAGUUUCAUUCUUAUAUGAAUGUCCAUCACACAACAACUAAUAAAAAUGGCAUGCUUUGAGCAAAAUUUGUGUGAGGUUCCUGGGACUCCUUCUCUCCUGAAUCAUGGCUGUUCUGUAAUUCUGUAGAACUGGGCCCACAGCUACUUCAUCUUGCACUAUAUUUCAGUGCCAAAUUAUUAAGAAAAAUUAGCAAUGAGCUCUGAAGACCUGUUUCGUUCCAUUGUUUGAGUUGAAUUUUCUUGUUUUUAUGGUUUCCCAUUGCAAGAAUUCUGUAUUUGGACUUCUUACAUAAUCAUUUGUCUCCUAGAAGUGCUGAGAAGAUGAAAGUAUUUGCUUAAAGAAUAAACAGUUAGAUUUAAUACAAAGGUUGAUUUUUUUGGUUUGUUAAAUUUUUUCUUUUCCUUCUGAGAAGUGAAAGCAGAGCAGUAUAUUCUUUCAGUCAGUCACAAAGUGACUGUUAUACUAUAUUUUGCAUUAAUUCAUGGAGGGACACUUGCCUAAAUCACAUUCUGUCUCUUGUGGAAGUCUUUGAUCCCAGUGACAGUUUGACUGCAUUAGUGAGAGUGUAUUGGUUAAUCCUUUGCUUAACUUGUUCUUUUUGGCACAGCCAGGGGCCUUUCCAAAGAUAAUCUGUCAGCAUAGGCUAAAUCCUAAUCAAACAGGGCAAAAGAGGAGCUGGGAGAUGUGUUGCAGGCUGAGGAAGUCCUUUUGGGUCUAUUUUUUUAAAAUAUGGUACUUUCUUGUGUACUCUGAAAAUGUAAGUUUAUAUAAAAACUUUACCUAGUCAUGAGGGCUUGCAUUCUCUUUGAACACAUUGGUUAAAGAGUGCAUUUGAGAGGCUACAAAUGCAGUACAUCUGAUUUGCUAUCAGCAGCUGGUUAUGAUAAGUCUCUGGAUCUGUUCAAUACCCUUAGUCACUUAGUACUGAACAAAACAUCUGAAUUUCUAGUUUCAUAAGGUAAAGAACUGAUGAAGACAGAAAUUUUCCUCAUUGAAAAAUGUGGCAUCUGAAAAACCUGGUCACAUGUGGAUUCUUAAGAUUCUAAGCCAAAACCCUUCUUUUUCACUGGGCAAGUGAUUGAAAAAGGAAACUACCAUCCAAACUGGGAGAGUUCUAGGUUGCUUUUAACCUAACUAAUGAAUUACCACUGCCUACAUGAGACAUAAAAAUUACAAUCAGUAUCCUUGGCUGCCUACCAUAAAAUAAACUGGUGUACAUUGAUCUACUUCUGCAAAAUAAAUUGGAAUUAUAAAAAAGAUCAGGAGAGGUAUUUUCUUUCUCCAAAAUAAAAUAUAUCUUGAUAUUAUUCAUUAUUAGGAGAGGUAAUGUCAAAGCUGUUCUUUCAGAAUUGAAGUGUUUCAGUUUCUUUGCAGAAUGGUGCUUAAAAAGUGCUUAUUAAUGUACAAGUGGAGGGAAACCCAAGAUACAUUUUUUCCCUUGUCAGUUCAGCAAUCAACUGUAAUAAGAGCUGAUGUAAAAUUUUCAUACACUUUAAGGCAUUCUUUAAUGUC